GACUUGGGGUCCAUCUUAAUAAGGUCAACCUUGUUAAGAGGAGUGUCCCAAUUCUUUAUAUAUUGGUCAUUAUUUCGGUAUUUUUUACCGAUGUGGGGUUAUAUUCCCUUAACAUGCCCCCGCAAGAUGGUGGCUCGUUUGAGCAGACCAAUCUUGAAAUCCGUGUGCUCAUUUUUAGAGACUUAAUCGGAUCGAAUCGCUCGUUGGAGCUUACUGGGCUCUGAUACCAUGUUAAGACUUGGGGUCCAUCUUAAUAAGGUCAACCUUGUUAAGAGGAGUGUCCCAAUUCUUUAUAUAUUGGUCAUUAUUUCGGUAUUUU
rnacentral:lncRNA from 1 species